AAACGAAAGAGAAACUUCAGUGAUGAUCCAGAACAAUUAAGUGUCAGACACCACAUCAAACAGAGCGCUGCUGCUGGUCUUUUAAAUGUGACUUUGGUGCCUUAAAUUUAUAGAUCCUAUGCAGCUUGGUGAAAGAAAACUGUAUUGUUUUGCACUUGAGGUGCAACAAAACCAGUUUAACAUCACAUAUAAUAUUUAGGUCAUUGUUAUAACACAAUGGCUGCCUGAGAUAAUAAACCACCACACCUUGGAGUCAUAGUGUAAACUCUUAGAAACUUUCAGUGCAUAAAAUGGACUUUGAAGUGAAGAAUGUAAAAAUACUCUGUGGGAUAAAAGCAGGUGUAGUUAUGGCUUCAGAAGAGGGAGGAGCUUAUUUUAGCCAGUUGUGCAAAGGAACAGUGACUGUUACAAUAAAUUUUAUAUAUUUAAGAGGAUACACAAUUAGUUAUAAAACAAACUAUGAGAAAUAUUAAUAUCAGAUGUAAAACCAGCACUAAAUAUACGAAAAACUGUAACCUGCUUAGGGUUAUAAGCUUAAAUAAAAUACUGUCACACAGAGAUCACGGUGUUGUUUACGCUGCGAUGCAUCCUGGGUAGAUGAGGCUUAUUAGGUUCUACGAAACCAGCUCCUUUCAGCCAGAACAGUCAUUUUCAUGCAAAGAGUAAUGUUCAGCCAAUUUCAUUUAGAUCAGAGUGAGUUGAAGCAGAAGGAAAUGUAGAAAUGACAAGAGGAGAUGAAGAUGAGGAGGAUGAAACGGAUGAAGAAGAAAGAAAAGGCUGCUGUGUGUAAAUGCCAAACCAGAAGGAGAGUGUACUCUGCAAGGAGCUGCAGUUUGUAACUCAAGCUGUUCACGAUAUAAACAGGAUGAUGACAACUCGAGCGAGGCCUGUGAAAACAUCUAAGAAAAGAAGCGAGAGCUUCUGCUGACAGCCACGAGCAGCUUCCAGUUUGCUGAAUCACUUCAGCGGAGAGAGGAACGUCGUUUCCGAUCGAGUGAAGCUGCAGAACCUCCCGUGGCGAACGAGUCGGGGCGGCGGGAACAUCUGGCAGCUCUCUGUGACCUUGACUUCCAGCUGCUGAGAGGGCCGGAGGGCCGGAGCGCCAGCACCCGACCACAGACAGGAAGCGUGGAGCCAGAGAUCGGCAGCUUAGCACAAAACAUCACUGCAACCUUUUGGCUUUUUUCAGCCUGAAAAGGGCUCAACGUGAAGCUUCCUGUGUGGGUUUACAGGUCCUGACGUUAUCCAGCCUGAUCCGUUUGAUUUAUACAUUUCAGACACAAAACAUUUGAUCUCUACUGAGUUUUCACAUUUUAUCACGUUAAAAGUUGCAGAUGAAACCCUGUUAGACACUUUAAAGUGGAAAUGCAACGAUCUGAUAUUAAUAUCUGUAUUUGUCCUGAUAUCGAAUAUAAUUCUAGAUCAGGUAUCGGUGACAAUGUUCCCAAUCCAUAAGGGCAGAUCUAUUCAGUCUAAUUCUUUACUUUGUGCUCUGAGCAUAAAAAAUAAAAAGACAUUAUUUAUUUUACAUUAUAUUUAGGAUUCCUAAUUGCAUUUCCUGAACCUUUAGAAUGAAGGUUUGCUACAGUUUGUUUUUGUCAGAUUCUUUAUUAUUUAUUUUUCAUAAAUAAUGUCAGUGUAAUUCCUCCUAACUGCACUGACUGAACAGAUUCAAGUUGUGUAAGUUGUGUUGUUUUACAUGCUUGGCCAAACUUGUGAAGAUCCAGGUGUAUUUAGGUGAGCUGUACUGGUACAAAGUUAUCAAAUAAACUUGUAAGUUAGUAAAUCUAUGUCUAUUUAGAAAACAAAACCAUUUUAAGUCAACUCAGCGCUGUUCUUCUGUAUCGGAUUGUAUCACUAAACCUAACAUAUCAGUAUUGGAAGUGAAAAACGUGGAUGGAGAUCCCUGGUUUUCACAUUAAAAGUUUGAAACCCGUGGUGCCGUAGUGGUUAGCGUGACCCAUGUUUGGAGGCCUUGAGUCCUUGACGCGGCCGUCGCGGGUUCGACUCCCGGACCCGACGACAUUUG